rnacentral:rRNA from 1 species
AUUGAACGCUGGCGGCAGGCCUAACACAUGCAAGUCGAACGGUAACAGGAAGAAGCUUGCUUCUUUGCUGACGAGUGGCGGACGGGUGAGUAAUGUCUGGGAAACUGCCUGAUGGAGGGGGAUAACUACUGGAAACGGUAGCUAAUACCGCAUAACGUCGCAAGACCAAAGAGGGGGACCUUCGGGCCUCUUGCCCUCGGAUGUGCCCAGAUGGGAUUAGCUAGUAGGUGGGGUAACGGCUCACCUAGGCGACGAUCCCUAGCUGGUCUGAGAGGAUGACCAGCCACACUGGAACUGAGACACGGUCCAGACUCCUACGGGAGGCAGCAGUGGGGAAUAUUGGACAAUGGGCGCAAGCCUGAUGCAGCCAUGCCGCGUGUAUGAAGAAGGCCUUCGGGUUGUAAAGUACUUUCGGCGGGGAGGAAGGGAGUCAAGUUAAUACCUUGGCUUAUUGACGUUACCCGCAGAAGAAGCACCGGCUAACUCCGUG